AAACAAUCUCGCCAUAUCUCGUCAAUCACGUGACGAGGCUUACAGCCCCGUAAAUAAUGUUGUGCUGAGAAACGAGUUCUGACAGGAUUCAGCACUCAAUGGAGUAACGGGGCUACUUUCAUUUCAUUGUUAGCUUGCCUUGUUUUAAACUACCUCUCUGUAACGACCGAUGAAGGAUUUCGUUUAGUGUUGAAACAGGUAGAUUCUACGCAAAUUUCAUACGUCGAUGAACUCGUUUGUCAUCAUCAACGAGUUGUCUUUCGUUGACUUGUUUACUUUCGGUUUAGCGGUCGACUUAAAGGAUGGGAUAUCCUAGUAUAUAAGACAGUUUUCCACCCACUAAGUGAAAUGGAUGGACUCCCAUCCUUAAUUGUAGAAUUUACUAAUCAUGUACCGUGUGUACACUGAUAUCAGGAUACGUUGAUUAAUCUUGUUCAUACCUGUUUUCAAUCUCAGCAUCUUUUUUUAUCAUGGAUAUUUCUUUACGCCGUCGCAAAAGAUGGUUAAAAAGGGUGCACAAAUUUAGAAGAGCAAGAAAUAGGAAUGGCAUUGACAACAAAGUGGUCCUUUUCUUCUCAACCAUCAACGGAUAUCAUCACUUCAGAAACAUGCCGACUAAGUAUAGCAGGGAGAACCAGUAUGUUAUGGAGUGUGUCCCAGAGCCAUACAAUAGAUGGGACCAAUUUGCAGUCCUUGUGAAAAAAAUGGGAACUGAGACAACCAUUGGAAGAGUUCCAAAAGAUAUCUGUAACAUAGUUUCAUUGGAAUCAAGAUUCACAAAGAAUCUCGUACGAGGAUAUUGUUUGUACAUUGGAUCCUCACACCAUGAAGGACCUGUGCAAAGCGGCCACCUAAAACUGCAUUGUGUUUAUGUGUUAGAAUUCUCCAACACGUCAGAUAGAAGAUUAGGAGAAAUUGGAAGUUUUUUGAAAAGAUAUGUUCCAGAGCCUUACAUUUAUCUGUAGAUAAGGGAUGUUCAUCAUCCUGUACCUUUACAGUCUUUGAAAAAUAAGAAACAAACUCUAUCUAUCCGGUGCAUUGUGACUAUGUUCUUGAAACAAAACGGCACAGGUUCCUACAUCACUAGUAUCGACAGUAAGCUUAAAUUGCUUAACAAAAUUUGGAGCUGAAAGAACUGGGCAGAUUUAACUUUUCAAAAUGAUUCGUCGCAGUCUUUUGUCCAUUCAAAUUUGACCCUCUUUUGCUGAAAUCAUCCCGUUUGUCAUAAAGUUGAGUUGUUUGUUUGCCGUUAAUAUCUACCUUCAAUAAAAUAUUUCAAAAGUA